UUAGCGCAGCGCGGCCGCGCUCGCCGUGAGGGGCGGCUCUGGGGGAGCCCCGGAGGGCCCGGGGUGUGAGCCCUGCCCCGGGAAAGCCCGGCCCGGCCCGGCCCGGCAGCGGUGCCCGCCACUGAGGGACACGGCUCGUCCUGCCCCGGGCCGGGCACGGGCGGAGCUGGGGCACUCUGGGCCUCCAUUCCGCCCGCUGCCAGCACCGCGGCUGGUGUGUUUCCACCUCUGGCUGUUCCCAGAAACACCUGUGUCUGUUUUGUUUCCCUGGAGAAAAGAAAAGUCAGCGCGAGCCCCAAGUUAUCCCUGCUUACCCUGCGUGUUGUGGGUAUCCGACAUUUAUGUUUUGGAACUCCACGAAAUAAAUCUACAGGCUGGAAAAGUUCCCCGAGUGUUUGUUCGCUUCUAAAAAUGACACUGUUUCACGCAGCAGUGUGACGUCUUUGUGACACGGCAUGUGGCACGGUUCUGUUCCACUGCAGAGAUUAAAAAUAAGCACAAAACGACUAAACUAGUUUAACAUCCCUGUCAAGAGGCUUGGUUAUCUCUCCCAUUUGUCACGGUCUCAAUGGUCUACUAAACAACCAGAAUUUUCCUAAUGAAAACAUGUUCUUUUCCUCUAAAACCUCCAGAGGCAAGAGAAACCACUGGUACGCAGAAUUAUUUGUAACACAAUGACUCCACAUGCCUUAAUUAUCUCAUUUUUAUUUGCUAGGAUGAGGAUCAGAAAGGCAGACAGGUCCAGUUCCAUCUACAGCAGCUGGGGAGGCAGAUUUCCAAUUCCUGCUCUGCUCUUUCCAUCCCUGUUAGAAAAAAGGUGGUUUAAGGUAUGGCAGCGCCACUUGAGGCUGCCUCCCACUGAAUAGAAACCUCGGGGGCAAAGAGAUUAAAUGCAAAUGCUCCCGUGUGGUUGUGCAACCCAAGCCAGCUGGUUUGAAGCUGCUCUGGGGAUCAGACUUGUGCAAACAUUCCUGACAGCCACCAAAAAGUGCCAAUGGACUUUUGAUUUGCUUUGUGCAGAGUUGGAGAUGAGAGUACAAGCAGGCUAAGCCAAACUCUUGGAGGCAUUUGCUAAAAGUUGUGUGCUUCAGUGUCAUGCUGAUGCCCAGCCUGUGAGUGUGAACAAAACUCACUUCAGCCAGAUAAGGCAGAGAUUUACCUGAGCACAGCCCCUCUUCUCAUCAUGGACUGCCACUGUUGCAGUCUUGGGACUGAGGUUGCCCCAGUCUUUCCAGUUCUUGGCCUGUGGAUCACACCUGGUAUUCUAGCAGCUCAAAAAAAAACCCACCCCAUUUGUACAAAUUCCAUGAGCCAAGGGUUUCAUGUCAAACUUAAUGGCUGGGGUGAAAUUUUAGGAACACUGCUGGCCUUAGUUUCUUUGACACCAGACAUUUAAAUGCCUCCUAAAUGCUUCUCUCGGAUCCUAGGUUAUCAAUACUCCACCAGGUUUGGUCUUUCCCUCUUGAAAAUUACUACCUCUGAAAUAAGAGUUUUCUCAUUUAUGUACAUGCUAAGAUUUAUCCUCGAUACUGAGAAGGAUCCUGAGCCAUUUUAAAUUUUCUCAAGAAAUACUAUUCUAAGUGUUUUAGUACAUUCUUGGCUCUUUAUUUUUUUGGGCUGUGUUUUGGCUUAAAAUGCUGCCAGCCAGGUAAAAGCCUUUUCAAUGUUGUUUUAGUAUGAACAAAAUGGAAACUGAGAAUUUCAAACAAGAGGUAAGUAAGUAUUUUCUUGGAUUCCUUGGUCUUUCUGUAGUAAAGAACACUAAAGAACUUUUCUCCCAAUGGAUCACUCCAAAGGAGGAUCUUUUGACCAUGAAAUAUUUAUCUGGUGUCAUGCUCUGUUAGCUGGUACCAAUGGCUAAAUUUAGAAAAGCUGUGAUCCUUCUUCUGAUGCUUUUUUUAAGCUCUACUGGGCAAGUAGAAGGCUUAGGAAUUAAAUGAGGUCACUCCCGUCCUAAGGGUGCUCUGAGUUCUAUCAGUGCUGUUAAAACUUGCACAGCUCAUUUUUUUUCCUUCUUUAGUAUGAGUGAAAUAGUUUUUUACCAAGUAGAUUGCAGUUCAUUAGUGAUCAAUAGAGUUCUCUAAAACAUAUUAAGGGCUGUCUUAGAAACCAGCACUGGCUUUUUGUCUUCACUAACAAAAAACAUGCACACUUUUAUUUUUGGGAGAGACAAAUCCAAAUCCCUCUCAUUAUGUCAAAUUAUAUUGGAGAGGAGACACUUUUUUUUUUUAAAUUAAUAUUGAAGAUUUAACCAGCUACAUCUGAAAUCAAAUCUACUUGCAAUGUCAGGGUAAGCCAGCCUCUAGGUCCUCCAUAAGGGCAGAAAGACAGUCUUGUCUGAUUCAGGCCACUGAUAAAACUCAUAUGAAAUAUAUGUUCACAAAAAAUAUAAUAUUUAUGUUCAUCAAUAUAAAUAGCUAAAAAACAUUCAGCAUAUUUUGUUUUGGAUCAACAUGAAUACAUGCAAAUGAGAGGCUGUUUGAAUAAUGGUUGUUGCUGCUUAGCUGACAGAAACCAGUUUUUGCUGAAAGCAGCAACUGUAGUAGCCUGGUUAUUUCAGAAAGUUAUCCCAUCUGGAAAACACGGUCUUAACUGGAGGAACAACAGGUGAUGUAUUUAAUUGAAGGCUUCCACUUGGAUCAGAAUAAGCAGCAUGAUAAGAAGUUGUUAAAAUCACACCAAUCAGCUUCACUUGCACCUUCAGAACAACAUGAAUGAAACAAGGAUCACUCACAAAUACAUUUUAUACCCACAACACACAUAAAUCUUCUCAUUCUCGUAUUUUGUGCUAGUAAACCCAUUACCUUACUCGAAAUUAUUAUAAUUUGUGGUUUUAGUAAUCUUGAUACUCUAUCCUAGUGGCAAGUUAAUGACCAGAAGCAGAGGCAAUUCUUUGGCAAAGCCUCAAGAGGCACAGCACUUGGAAAUAAAACCAGCAUGAACUGCAGGCUCAGAUAAAGCACAGACCAGUGAAAUCACCUUUACUCUGACAGGAAGACAUCAGUAGUGCUAAUGUGCUCUUGAAAUUCUCUAGAGGUGAAAACUUGGCAGGCAAUAAACCAAUCUUUGAAGGAAGAACUCCAAACUGUGCACCUUGUUAUCCCAAAGGCAUCACAAAAUGAUUAAUUCAGCCCAAGUACAAGGUACAGGGAGCAACAGGUGAAGCAAAGCAGACAGUUCCUGUGAUAACCUUGCACAGACAACAAUCAGAGUUGUCCAUUGCAGGCAAAUCAGGAAAGCCAACAGCCCCAGAGACAGCAGAGAUUUCUCUCUGUACUGCAAAACCUUCCAGACACACUUUCCAGGAAAUAAUUUUACCUAUUUGAAUGAAUGAAAUUAUCUAGAGACAUAAACUACCCAGAAAUCAUCUCCAGUUUGAGAAAAUCUUCAGUUGAUAUUCUUGAUACAGAACAAGGAUGGUCAUUAAUUCUGUAAAUGACACCCCAUAACAUUGAGUCAGGAAAAACCAAACUCCUAUGGUUUCUGCAUGCGCAGCUGGCAAAACUCAGUUAAAACUUUUCCCUACAGAAUCUAAACAAAUGCAAAACAGAGCUACAGCACUGUUUCCAGAGAAUUUUAUUUCACUCUACUUCAUCCUCUUCUUUAAAGAUUGUGCAUUUCUUUUAUUACUUUUAUGCUUGUAAUUGGUAAUUUUUUAAGCAACAGGAAGGAUUCUGUUAUUAUUGUGCAUUGGUCUGCCUCUAGAAUGAAGUAAAUGUAACAGCUGGGGCACAUCAGGUAAAGCUGGCACUGCCACUGCAGAGGUUUCACUGCCUUCCCCAGCAGGAGCAGCACACAACUGAGCUGUCUCAGUGCAUCUGGCUCCUGCUGCUCUGCCAGCAGCCAGGUUUGCCAAAAUGCCCUUCCAAAACUGAAACACACAGAUUGCUGCAUACAGCUAUGAAAACACAGCAUUACAAUAUUACUACUGACCUUUGUACUAAAUGAAACUUCAGAGCACCAAGAACAAGAUCUAUCCAAAACACCGUAUUUACAAAAUAAUCAGGAAACGUGGCAGUCUCAGAGCAAUUCCUACACUGAGGUUUUUUUUUAUCUUUUCACUGGUAUAAGCUGAUCACAGUAGGAGAAACAUUUUACAUAACUUUUUACAGCUCUGACAUAGCUGUGCUGCCUUUAACUGCAUCAGGGGUACAUCUUGUGCAGUAAAUGCAGACCAUGUGGUUGUACCCAAAAUCACUUUUUAUUUGCCAGUUUGGGAACAGCUUUGCAGCUGUAGUGUCCCAUUUCCUGUCCUGCACAGGACAUGUAAGACAGCAUCCAAAGACUCUGAGCUUCAACAGUGGAUAUGCCACUUGGCUAAAGAUUGUACUUCUAAGGAAAUUAAUCUUGAGUGUUAUUCAUGGAAUGUUUCUAAAAUUUGAGUCACGAGCUCAUACACAUGUGAGCCAUCUGGAAGCACUUCCAGGAGAUGGAAGGGAGAUUUUAAGAACUAUAAACAGUGUUAUUUACACAAUGCCUGUUUCACUUUUUUCCACUGUAAGUAAAGAAAGAAAACAACCUUAAACUCUUUAUAUACAAAAUGACUGUAAUUGAAAAAGGACUGCUUAAGAAUUUGCAUGUGAUAUCAGGAGUUUAAUCAAACUUUAGUGACUGACAGAAUUCCUCCUGGUCAGCACUACCAGAAAAGCCUGUGGCAAGGAAAUUUUCUGGCACUGUAGUAAAGAACUGUCAACAAGAGAAAACACAGAAUACUGGAUUUUUGUUUACAUUAUCAAAACCUAAUCAAAGAAAUCCUGAUAGAGAUAAGACAGAGACAAAUGAAUCAGAUUUUCCAUCUAUUUUCACAUUAAACAAACCAGAUAUGAAGAAUUUAUUUUCCAUUCUGCUGAUAUGAAUGAAUUUUAUGCAAUUCGCCAAAUGCCAGUAUCAACAUUUCAUAUUCCAAGACCAAGAUUUCUUGUCAUUAAUUCCACGGGUGUUGGCCUGUGUGCCUUUCAAGGAUCCAUGUGAAUGGAGGGACCUUUGCAGGCACCUCACAAAGUCAUUAAUCAUUUAAGAUCAAACCCCAGAUUUUAUUGCUGUAACAAGAGGCUACACAGGAAACCUGCCUCUUUCUACCACCACUAAUUACCAGCCACGCUGAGGGAAAGGAGUGCACAGCUCUUGACCAGAUCUAUUUUGUUUAUUAAAAUCAAUAUGCACAAGAUUAUUUUACCUGUUUUCCUUUAUCCCCUUUGACAUAAAAAUAUGUUUGCAUUUGUCCUUAAAAGCAACCUUUAGAGCCUGUGUUGGGAAAUACUGUGUAACAUUGACCAAAUCACCAGUGCCAGAGGUUCUACAGAGAAAGAAAUGGAUUUUUAAAAAUAACUAGAGAUUUUAAAGUUUCCAAAGUUUAUACUACACCUAGGAUAUUAUACACUAUCUCUUCUAUUUGGAAUGAGCUGCAACAAAGGCCAAAAAUCUGUUCAGGUCCUUUCCUUUUCAAGCACUUCUUUUUGGAGAACUGGAUUUAUUUUGAAACUUACCAACAGCGUAUGAAUUUGGUGUUAGCACUAGAGAAUCUCAAACUACCAGUGAAACAUCAGUAAUAUCAGAAAUAGCCUAGAUUUCCAACUUCCUUACUUCAGCCAUUUCUAGGACUAGGGAUAGCAAUGGAAAGUGCAGGAGAGCAGAGCAUUGACAGGGCUGGGCAGACCUUGCUCUCCUGAAGCAGCCUCCUUGUGCAUUUUGGCUGACAGAGAGGGUGCUCACGCUCCAUCUUAAAGCAAUGCCUGACAGCUGAUACAGGAUCAGAAACUCAGUGACACUUUUAGAAUUAUAUUAUACUUCUGAAUUAAAUAAAGGGUUCUCCUGGACAGGAAGCUAAAAGCACUGCAGCAAGGUCUGCUUGCUUUCCUCCACAUUCCUUCUUCCAUCCACCAGGAAAUCUAAUGCCCAAACCUCAGGUAUUUUAGACUUUGAGAGGUGUAGCAGAGUAACUCUCCCAUCACUUGAUUUAUACACGGGGAACAGAGCUAACACACUGCUGCUGUGAUUUGUAGGCCUCAGACUGAAAUACUGCUGCUCAUCUGCUAGGAACCAUAAAUCCUGGAGAAAGCUGAUUAGUAAAGUCUUCAAUCACAGCUUGCACUUCAGGCCCAAGACUUCUGCAGCUUGGAAUUAAAACAAGUGUUGAGUGAUGAAGACAAGCUGUGAAUCACCCUGUGAGCACUGCAAGCAUUUGAUGGACUGUUUUAGGACUACCCUAAACUGUGUCAUUUACCAGUGAAAACAGGAUCUAAAGAUUUGGCCAUGAGAACCCAUGAAAUUGAAUUUGCUUUCCUGAACUCUUAAACUUUUUGAUCCCGUUGUUUAAAAUGGAAUUCUAGUUAUGCAUUUUAUGAAAAGCACUCAUGAAAAACAAGUAGAAUGAAAUAAUAAAACAAAAAAGAAAAUACAUUAAGUAAAAAAAAGGAUAAAAAAUUAAUGCUUUACUGUUCUUUAACAAAUAUACAUUUUUAUUAUGAAAUUAUGAAUAUAAAAUAAGCCAAGUCCAUGCACAUCUUAAAACCACCCUGCCCACCCCCCUUCUUUCUUUGUGUCUUCAAAAUUGCAUUUUAACAAAUAUAAGUAUUAUUUAUAGUUAAAACUCAUGGAGUCAAGUAAAACAUCAACCACACUAUAGUUCUCGAGGGUGCAGGAGAGCAAAAAUGGUAAACCAUUAGUUUUGUGAGGCUAAGUGCCAGGAAUUGUCUGAAAGAUUUCUCUCUGUUUUGAUUAACACAAUGCUACUGCAAACAUUCAGUAUUUUUCAGGCUCUCAGAGAUGCAAAUUUUUAAGUAAACUGGAGAAAUUUUUUUUUCCUCCACCACCAAUUUCCAUGUUUAUAGAGUACUUUGAGGAUCAGCUUACCAUUUUAUGUUGCAUAUUGUACACUGAACAUACAAAUUAUGUGGUGUUUUCAUAUAACAAAGUUAU